UACAGAGGUCUCAAGCGUUGUUCGGAUUCAUUGGGCGUAAAGGGUGCGUAGGCGGCGCCGUAAGUCAGGUGUGAAAUUUCGGAGCUUAACUCCGAAACUGCAUUUGAUACUGCGGUGCUUGAGGACUGGAGAGGAGACUGGAAUUUACGGUGUAGCAGUAAAAUGCGUAGAGAUCGUAAGGAAGACCAGUGGCGAAGGCGGGUCUCUGGACAGUUCCUGACGCUGAGGCACGAAGGCCAGGGGAGCAAACGGG
rnacentral:rRNA from 1 species